AGCGAACGCUGGCGGCAGGCUUAACACAUGCAAGUCGAGCGGGCACUUUCGGGUGUCCGCGGCGGACGGGUGAGUAACGCGUGGGAACGUGCCCUCUGGUUCGGAAUAACUCAGGGAAACUUGAGCUAAUACCGGAUACGCCCUUUUGGGGGAAGGCUUGCUGCCGGAGGAUCGGCCCGCGUCUGAUUAGCUAGUUGGUGAGGUAACGGCUCACCAAGGCGACGAUCAGUAGCUGGUCUGAGAGGAUGAUCAGCCACACUGGGACUGAGACACGGCCCAGACUCCUACGGGAGGCAGCAGUGGGGAAUAUUGGACAAUGGGCGCAAGCCUGAUCCAGCCAUGCCGCGUGAGUGAUGAAGGCCUUAGGGUUGUAAAGCUCUUUUAUCCGGGACGAUAAUGACGGUACCGGAGGAAUAAGCCCCGGCUAACUUCGUG
rnacentral:rRNA from 1 species